rnacentral:rRNA from 1 species
GGUUAAGCGACUAAGCGUACACGGUGGAUGCCCUGGCAGUCAGAGGCGAUGAAGGACGUGCUAAUCUGCGAAAAGCGUCGGUAAGGUGAUAUGAACCGUUAUAACCGGCGAUGUCCGAAUGGGGAAACCCAGUGCAAUUCGUUGCACUAUCGUUAACUGAAUACAUAGGGUAACGAGGCGAACCGGGGGAACUGAAACAUCUAAGUACCCCGAGGAAAAGAAAUCAACCGAGAUUCCCCCAGUAGCGGCGAGCGAACGGGGAGCAGCCCAGAGUCUGAAUCAGCUUGUGUGUUAGUGGAACGGUCUGGAAAGUCCGACGGUACAGGGUGAUAGUCCCGUACACCAAAAUGCACAGGUUGUGAACUCGAAGAGUAGGGCGGGACACGUGGUAUCCUGUCUGAAUAUGGGGGGACCAUCCUCCAAGGCUAAAUACUCCUGACUGACCGAUAGUGAACCAGUACCGUGAGGGAAAGGCGAAAAGAACCCCGGCGAGGGGAGUGAAAAAGAACCUGAAACCGUGUACGUACAAGCAGUGGGAGCACCUUCGGGUGUGACUGCGUACCUUUUGUAUAAUGGGUCAGCGACUUAUAUUCUGUAGCAAGGUUAACCGUAUAGGGGAGCCGCAGGGAAACCGAGUCUUAACUGGGCGUUAAGUUGCAGGGUAUAGACCCGAAACCCGGUGAUCUAGCCAUGGGCAGGUUGAAGGUUGGGUAACACUAACUGGAGGACCGAACCGACUAAUGUUGAAAAAUUAGCGGAUGACUUGUGGCUGGGGGUGAAAGGCCAAUCAAACCGGGAGAUAGCUGGUUCUCCCCGAAAGCUAUUUAGGUAGCGCCUCGUGAAUUCAUCUUCGGGGGUAGAGCACUGUUUCGGCUAGGGGGUCAUCCCGACUUACCAACCCGAUGCAAACUACGAAUACCGAAGAAUGUUAUCACGGGAGACACACGGCGGGUGCUAACGUCCGUCGUGAAGAGGGAAACAACCCAGACCGCCAGCUAAGGUCCCAAAGUCAUGGUUAAGUGGGAAACGAUGUGGGAAGGCACAGACAGCCAGGAUGUUGGCUUAGAAGCAGCCAUCAUUUAAAGAAAGCGUAAUAGCUCACUGGUCGAGUCGGCCUGCGCGGAAGAUGUAACGGGGCUAAACCAUGCACCGAAGCUGCGGCAGCGACACUAUGUGUUGUUGGGUAGGGGAGCGUUCUGUAAGCCUGCGAAGGUGACCUGUGAGGGUUGCUGGAGGUAUCAGAAGUGCGAAUGCUGACAUAAGUAACGAUAAAGCGGGUGAAAAGCCCGCUCGCCGGAAGACCAAGGGUUCCUGUCCAACGUUAAUCGGGGCAGGGUGAGUCGACCCCUAAGGCGAGGCCGAAAGGCGUAGUCGAUGGGAAACAGGUUAAUAUUCCUGUACUUGGUGUUACUGCGAAGGGGGGACGGAGAAGGCUAUGUUAGCCGGGCGACGGUUGUCCCGGUUUAAGCAUGUAGGCUGAUUGUCCAGGCAAAUCCGGAUAAUCAAGGCUGAGGUGUGAUGACGAGGCACUACGGUGCUGAAGUAACAAAUGCCCUGCUUCCAGGAAAAGCCUCUAAGCAUCAGGUAACAUCAAAUCGUACCCCAAACCGACACAGGUGGUCAGGUAGAGAAUACCAAGGCGCUUGAGAGAACUCGGGUGAAGGAACUAGGCAAAAUGGUGCCGUAACUUCGGGAGAAGGCACGCUGGUGUGUAGGUGAAGUCCCUGCGGAUGGAGCUGAGACCAGUCGAAGAUACCAGCUGGCUGCAACUGUUUAUUAAAAACACAGCACUGUGCAAACACGAAAGUGGACGUAUACGGUGUGACGCCUGCCCGGUGCCGGAAGGUUAAUUGAUGGGGUUAUCCGUAAGGAGAAGCUCUUGAUCGAAGCCCCGGUAAACGGCGGCCGUAACUAUAACGGUCCUAAGGUAGCGAAAUUCCUUGUCGGGUAAGUUCCGACCUGCACGAAUGGCGUAAUGAUGGCCAGGCUGUCUCCACCCGAGACUCAGUGAAAUUGAACUCGCUGUGAAGAUGCAGUGUACCCGCGGCAAGACGGAAAGACCCCGUGAACCUUUACUAUAGCUUGACACUGAACAUUGAGCCUUGAUGUGUAGGAUAGGUGGGAGGCUUUGAAGCGUGGACGCCAGUCUGCGUGGAGCCAACCUUGAAAUACCACCCUUUAAUGUUUGAUGUUCUAACGUUGGCCCCUUAUCGGGGUUGCGGACAGUGUCUGGUGGGUAGUUUGACUGGGGCGGUCUCCUCCCAAAGCGUAACGGAGGAGCACGAAGGUUAGCUAAUCCUGGUCGGACAUCAGGAGGUUAGUGCAAUGGCAUAAGCUAGCUUGACUGCGAGCGUGACGGCGCGAGCAGGUGCGAAAGCAGGUCAUAGUGAUCCGGUGGUUCUGAAUGGAAGGGCCAUCGCUCAACGGAUAAAAGGUACUCCGGGGAUAACAGGCUGAUACCGCCCAAGAGUUCAUAUCGACGGCGGUGUUUGGCACCUCGAUGUCGGCUCAUCACAUCCUGGGGCUGAAGUAGGUCCCAAGGGUAUGGCUGUUCGCCAUUUAAAGUGGUACGCGAGCUGGGUUUAGAACGUCGUGAGACAGUUCGGUCCCUAUCUGCCGUGGGCGCUGGAGAAUUGAGGGGGGCUGCUCCUAGUACGAGAGGACCGGAGUGGACGCAUCACUGGUGUUCGGGUUGUCAUGCCAAUGGCACUGCCCGGUAGCUAAAUGCGGAAGAGAUAAGUGCUGAAAGCAUCUAAGCACGAAACUUGCCCCGAGAUGAGUUCUCCCUGAGACUUUAAGUCUCCUGAAGGAACGUUGAAGACGACGACGUUGAUAGGCCGGGUGUGUAAGCGCAGCGAUGCGUUGAGCUAACCGGUACUAAUGAACCGUGAGGCUUAACCUU